UACGUAGGAAGCAAGCGUUGUUCGGAAUUAUUGGGCGUAAAGAGCUCGUAGGCGGUUUGUCGCGUCUGCCGUGAAAGUCCGGGGCUCAACUCCGGAUCUGCGGUGGGUACGGGCAGACUAGAGUGAUGUAGGGGAGACUGGAAUUCCUGGUGUAGCGGUGAAAUGCGCAGAUAUCAGGAGGAACACCGAUGGCGAAGGCAGGUCUCUGGGCAUUAACUGACGCUGAGGAGCGAAAGCAUGGGGAGCGAACAGG
rnacentral:rRNA from 1 species